rnacentral:rRNA from 1 species
AGUUUGAUCCUGGCUCAGGACGAACGCUGGCGGCGUGCUUAACACAUGCAAGUCGAACGAGGCCGGGGUGCUUGCACCCCGAGCCGAGUGGCGAACGGGUGCGUAACACGUGACCAAUCUGUCCUAGGGUGAGGGACAACCUGGGGAAACCCGGGCUAAUACCGCAUGAUGUCCAGACCUCGCAUGGGGACUGGAUCAAAGAGGGCCUCUGCUUGCAAGCUCUCGCCAUAGGAGGAGGUCGCGGCGUAUCAGCUAGUUGGUGGGGUAAUGGCCUACCAAGGCUACGACGCGUAGUGGGUCUGAGAGGACGACCCGCCACAUUGGGACUGAGAUACGGCCCAGACUCCUACGGGAGGCAGCAGUGGGGAAUAUUGCGCAAUGGCCGAAAGGCUGACGCAGCGACGCCGCGUGUGGGAGGAAGCCCUUCGGGGUGUAAACCACUGUCGGAGGGGAAGAACCCCGUCAACUCGAAUAGGGUUGGCGGCUGACGGUACCCUCAAAGGAAGCACCGGCUAACUCCGUGCCAGCAGCCGCGGUAAUACGUAGGGUGCGAGCGUUAAUCGGAAUUACUGGGCGUAAAGCGUGCGCAGGCGGUUUUGUAAGACAGAUGUGAAAUCCCCGGGCUUAACCUGGGAACUGCGUUUGUGACUGCAAGACUUGAGUGCAGCAGAGGGGGGUGGAAUUCCACGUGUAGCAGUGAAAUGCGUAGAGAUGUGGAGGAACACCGAUGGCGAAGGCAGCCCCCUGGGUUGACACUGACGCUCAUGCACGAAAGCGUGGGUAGCAAACAGGAUUAGAUACCCUGGUAGUCCACGCCCUAAACGAUGCGAACUAGGUGUUGGAGAAGGAGACUUCUUUAGUACCGCAGCUAACGCGUGAAGUUCGCCGCCUGGGGAGUACGGUCGCAAGAUUAAAACUCAAAGGAAUUGACGGGGACCCGCACAAGCGGUGGAUGAUGUGGAUUAAUUCGAUGCAACGCGGAAAACCUUACCUACCCUUGACAUGCCUGGAAUCCUGCUGAGAGGUGGGAGUGCCCGAAAGGGACCGGGACACAGUGCUGCAUGGCUGUCGUCAGCUCGUGUCGUGAGAUGUUCGGUAGUCGCUACGAGCGCACCCUCGCCGUAUGUACAUGUGUCAUGGCGGACCGCCGGGAUCAGCCGAAGAGGGUGGGGAUGACGUCAGUCAGCAUGCCCUUUAUAUAUCUUGGGGCUAUACAACACAAGC